AACAGAGACUCAGUGACAUCUUGUAAUUAGUCCCAUGUCCCGGUGAAUCAUUUGCCAGCACCCACGGUUUGGGAAGCACUGGGAGCUGCCCCUCUGCAAGGAGGAGCUCUGUAAUCUGUCAAACAAUGUGAUCGCCAUCUGGCCAGGGGCUUGGCUCCAUUCUCUGGGAGGAAAGGAAGGGAAAAGGACAAAGAUAAUGACGGGUGCAGAGAGAACACUGGGACAGACGGCACCUCCAGCAGGGAAAGAUAAGAAGCCAGGCCACCGAUUUUAUCUCAGAGCUUAGAAGUGGGCAUCAGAGCCCCUUGGCCAGAGGGUGACAGCGAGCUUCCCAGAGCUCAGUGCGUUUUCCCAGGGCUGCUCUGAGAGGCGGCAGACCUGGGACUCGGGACUGGGCCUUCCCAGCUCUUUCCAGAGCUCUGCAGCUCCUUCCAGAGGGUUCCUGUGCUGAGCUCACACGUGGAACAGGGGAGAGGAAGGUCGUUCUUCCCUCUCCACAAAGGAAGCAGUACAGGCUUGGAGAGUGGAGAGACUUGGAGCUGAACCAGCCUUUGCAAGGUCAUUGGGUUUCAGAUGAGCUUAAGGGUGCUCCCGGACGUGGGCCUCCUCUGCUGCCUUCGUGUGACCGCAGCUUCUCCUUGCUGAGACCCUGGGGCAGAUGUCAUUUCCCAGCACAUGUCACCUCGCUCCUUCUAAUGGAUCUUAAGAUACUCUCUUCAUCUCGCCUUCCCACUUCACGUGUCCUGGAGGAACGCGCCUCCCCUUCAGGGGCAGGUCCAAGCCCAAACACCCCAGGCAGCCCACCGGGAUUGCCAACUCAAUGAGUCCCUCCAUGUGGCCAACAACUAAAUAAACACAGCCCUGUUUGAGGUGCA